UACGAAGGGUGCGAACGUUGCUCGGAAUUAUUGGGCGUAAAGCGCACGUAGGCGGCUUUGCAAGUCGGAUGUGAGAUCCCUCGGCUCAACCAAGGAAGUGCAUCCGAAACUGCAGAGCUUGAGUACCAAAGAGGAUCGCGGAAUUCCCGGUGUAGAGGUGAAAUUCGUAGAUAUCGGGAGGAACACCAGUGGCGAAGGCGGCGAUCUGGGUGGAUACUGACGCUGAGGUGCGAAAGCGUGGGGAGCAAACAGG
rnacentral:rRNA from 1 species